UAAAGCACCCGGACAGACACAAACAGAGCAAAACAAAACAAAAACAGCCACAACGGAGUGAGAAAUGUGCAAAAUGAAAUCAACUAGGAUCGGGAGCGGAGACUGGAGAGGCUGAAGGAAGAGUGGGGGUGCUGGGAGAGUGGCCGCCAUCAUCAGCAGCAACAGAGAAGAGCAAAUCGGACAGGCCCCUCUUAAGAGAGGAUUUAUAUAUAGGUAUUUUGUCUCCCUCUCUCCCUCGCUCUCGGAGAUGAGUGAGUGUCAGUAAGUGUUGGCAGGUUGGCUGCUGGCUGCCUUAUAGAAGAGGCUCAGUUUUGCAGCGCUGAUCGGCGGGAGAAUGAAGUGACGGAACCCGGAAGUAGUGGUGGCCAUAGCCAGUCCUGCAGCGCGGCGGCGGC